UUGAAUAAACUUGGUUGGGCUGUUUGCUGGCUCUUCGGGGCAUGUGCACGCUCAUACCAUCUUUAAAAACCACCUGUGCACCUUGUGUAGAAGUGUUCGAUUCAACCUUAUGAAGCGCCCGCUCCGGCACAGACGUUAAUUCGUUUGAAUGGCGUUGAAUAAUUCUGGUUGACGAAGCCAGGUGUCCUUCGGGAUGCUCACAAGAUUGAGCAGCACUUAGAGCUCGUUUUCAAUGACCAAGUCCACUUCGGUGUUGAAUUAGUUGUUGGAGGCUUGACGCACUAUGUGUCUGCACUGUCAUAUUCCUGUACCUACCGUAACCUGCUUCUUUUGGGGAGCUUGCUACUAGGUGGCUUUGACGGACUUGGGUUAAACCAUGACCUGAACACUUCUUCACAUUUGUAGAUCCAUGAUACUUGAGAAUUCGUUUUCGUAUUAUGGGCCUAUGUAUUCAUACAUACACUUUGUCUCAGAAUGUUUGUAUACAGGCUUUUAUGCCUUUAAACAAUAAACAACUUUCAACAACGGAUCUCUUGGCUCUCGCAUCGAUGAAGAACGCAGCGAAAUGCGAUAACUAAUGUGAAUUGCAGAAUUCAGUGAAUCAUCGAAUCUUUGAACGCACCUUGCGCUCCUUGGUAUUCCGAGGAGCAUGCCUGUUUGAGUGUCAUGAAAUUCUCAACCUUUCUAGCUUUUUGUGAGCUUUAGUAAGGCUUGGAUUAUGGAGGCUGCUGGAUCUUUAUAGAUUCGGCUCCUCUGAAAUAUAUUAGCUCGACCUUUGCUGAUGUGUCUUUGGUAUGAUAAUUUAUCUAUACUAUAGAUAUUUGGCUCCUCCACUAGAGGAAGGUUGGCUUCUAAUCGUCUUUGGACAAUAUUUGACCAUUUUGACCUCAAAUCAGGUAGGACUACCCGCUGA
rnacentral:rRNA from 1 species